rnacentral:rRNA from 1 species
UACGAAGGGGGCUAGCGUUGUUCGGAUUUACUGGGCGUAAAGCGCACGUAGGCGGAUUGUUAAGUGAGGGGUGAAAUCCUGGAGCUCAACUCCAGAACUGCCUUUGAUACUGAGGAUCUUGAGUCCGGGAGAGGUGAGUGGAACUCCGAGUGUAGAGGUGAAAUUCGUAGAUAUUCGGAAGAACACCAGUGGCGAAGGCGGCUCACUGGCCCGGUACUGACGCUGAGGUGCGAAAGCGUGGGGAGCAAACAGG